GGNGCUCUCCCAUAUGGUCGACCUGCAGGGCGGCCGCGAAUUCACUAGUGAUUAGAGUUUGAUCCUGGCUCAGAUUGAACGCUGGCGGCAGGCCUAACACAUGCAAGUCGAACGGUAACAGAAAGCAGCUUGCUGCUUUGCUGACGAGUGGCGGACGGGUGAGUAAUGUCUGGGAAACUGCCUGAUGGAGGGGGAUAACUACUGGAAACGGUAGCUAAUACCGCAUAACGUCGCAAGACCAAAGAGGGGGACCUUAGGGCCUUUUGCCAUCGGAUGUGCCCAGAUGGGAUUAGCUAGUAGGUGGGGUAACGGCUCACCUAGGCGACGAUCCCUAGCUGGUCUGAGAGGAUGACCAGCCACACUGGAACUGAGACACGGUCCAGACUCCUACGGGAGGCAGCAGUGGGGAAUAUUGCACAAUGGGCGCAAGCCUGAUGCAGCCAUGCCGCGUGUAUGAAGAAGGCCUUCGGGUUGUAAAGUACUUUCAGCGGGGAGGAAGGGAGUAAAGUUAAUACCUUUGCUCAUUGACGUUACCCGCANAANAAGCACCGGCUAACUCCGUGCCAGCAGCCGCGGUAAUACGGAGGGUGCAAGCGUUAAUCGGAAUUACUGGGCGUAAAGCGCACGCAGGCGGUUUGUUAAGUCANAUGUGAAAUCCCCGGGCUCAACCUGGGAACUGCAUCUGAUACUGGCAAGCUUGAGUCUCGUANAGGGGGGGUAGAAUUCCAGGUGUANCGNUGAAAUGCNUANAGAUCUGGAGGAAUACCGGUGGNCGAAGGCGGCCCCCUGGACNAAGNCUGAC
rnacentral:rRNA from 1 species